rnacentral:lncRNA from 1 species
CCUCAUCUUGGCGUUGAGCAGCGCCACGAAGCCCGGCCUGAGCGUGUCGCAGUAGACCAGGAACAUCGCCGUCACGGAGUACCCCUCAUCCCACCUUUCUCCCUGCCCCUGCUGCACCCAGUACGCCGGUCUGUAGCCCGCCCUGUACACGAUGUAGUCGGCGAUGCCCUCGAUGAGGCCGCGGCUCGCCUGCCCCUGCCCGUCCCACUGCCACACGUGCGUCGUCUCGUGGAACAGCACGCUGGCCACCUGCAAAAACACAUUCAUGCGUUUCAUCAUUUGUUUGCCCAUUAGUUGAGAUCUGACUUUCUUUCAAUCCUUCCUCUUUUAUCCUGGUUUAAAGUAGAUCCGAGAUAAAAGGUUCACAGACCGGGACUAAAACUUAGCCACUGAUGGGGGCUCACCAACCGGGACUAAAGAACUCCUUUAAUCCCGGUUGUAAAGGCCAGUGGCCCUGACGAGCCUUUUCUCCCGGAUAGAAACACCAACCGGGAUUAAAGGACGCCCCUUUAGUCCCGGUUGGUGUUUUCAACCGGGACUAAUGCUUUUAGUCCCGGUUAGAAACACCAACCGGGACUAAAAGGGGGUCCUUUAAUCCCGGUUGGUGUUGCCAACUGGGAGAAAAAGGUCGUCGAUCACCUCGUUUCGCGCCCCCUCCCCCCACCACUCCACCUCCUCUAUCUAUCUCAAAAAAUGCACAUCCUCUAUCUGUCUCAGAAAAUGCACAGGUACUUCCUCCUUCCUUAUCCUCUCCUCCUCCUUCCUUAUCCUCUCCUCCCUCCCACCCUCCUUCUUCCUUAUCCUUUCUUCUUUUCCCAUGCGUAGGCGGGCGGCGGGCGCGCGAAACCGAGCGAGGUGCGAGCGGGGGAGGUAGGUCGGGGCGGCGGCGGGCCGACGGCGCCGCGCCGUGGAGGCGGCGACGCUUUUCCCACGCGCAGGCGGGCGGCGGGCGCACGGAACCGAGCGAGGUACGAGCGGGGGAGGCAGGUCGGGGCGGUGGCGGGCCGACGGCGCCGCGCCGUGGAGGCGGCGACGCUUUUCCCACGCGCAGGCGGGCGGCGGGCGCACGGAACCGAGCGAGGCGAGCGGGGGAGGCGGGUCGAGGCGGCGGUGGGGCGGCGGCGGCGGGCCGAGGACGGCACGCGGGGAAGGCGGCGGCAGGUACUCUCCUUCCUCCCUCCUUCUUCCUUAUUCUCUCCUCCCUCCUUCUUCUUCCUUAUCCUUUCUUCUCUUUUCCCACAUAGGUGGGCGCGCGGCAUGCGGAACGAGGUGCGAGCGGGGCUUGUGGGUCAAGGCGGUGGCAGCGGGCGCGGCUGGCGAGCAGCCGGCCGACGGCGCGCGGGAGCCGGAGGUGGAGGCCGCACGGGUGCACGGCGCGGAGGCGGGCGCCGGCGGCGGCGGGGUGGGGCGGGGCGGGGCGGGGCCGAUGGGCGGUGCGGGUGAAGCAGUGGGGUGGCGUGGGAGCCGAGGUAGGCGGAUGCCCGCCGGUGCUUUUUUUUUUAUUUUUUUUGGAAAACUAUUUUAUCCCGGUUGGGAAUACCAACCAGGAUAAAUGUUGCUUUAGUCCCGGUCGAGGAACCCGGGAUAAAAGACACCUCCUUUUGUCUCGAUUGAUUAAUCACGGAUGGUUUUUCGGGAGAUUUACGCCCUACCAAUCGGGACUAAUACUCAGUUCUCUACCAGUGCGCGCCUGUCCUAGCUCGAGACAUGAGAGAGAGCUAAACAAACUCACCUCGAUUCUGACAUUGCCGGAGUAGUUGCCGAUGUACUGGGCGCUGAGGGUGAUGACGUCGUUGCUGGUGAAGGCGACGCCGCCGACGUCGGCGACGACGAGGGCGAUCGCGUCGACGGGCUUGCGGUCGGCGGGGUUGGUCUGGUUGAAGGUCAUCCAGAUGAACAUGGACGCUUCAGAGAUGAUCUGCCUCGGGAAAUCGAGGCCGACUUCCCGGUCGAACCGCUGGCCGCCGAGGGUGUUGGACGCCGUGUUCGUCACGUCGAUCGUGACGAUGGCGCCGGCCGUCGCGGCAAGGGCAAGCAGGAGGGAUGCGACCGCGGCGAUGCGAAGCAGCUUCAUCUUGUGCUGGUGCUGCACUUCUUGCUAUGGGAUUAGCUACUCGGGAUUGGGGGUAUAUUUAUAGUGCGUAUGUUACAGGGGAAGAGAAGCUCUGAUGAGAAGUUUAGUUUCUCAGUGAAGCUGAUCUAGUGUAGGGUUUACUCAAAUGAACUGACUCUAGAGCUGAUCUUGAACUUCAUGUUACGACUGCUAAUCCAUAGAUGCAAUUUUCUUCGUCUGCGGAAAUGUGUCAAUGAAGAACAUUGACGAGUAUACUAUUGGU